GCUUCCCCACCCCUUCCCUGCUUCUCGCGAGGCUUCUGCCGGCACCGCUAGGGGCUCCGUCCGCUGUCGCUGGGGCGGAGCGGGGGCCAUGGCCGCCCUGCGCACCCUCUUGCGGUGGCGCCGUCGCUUGGGCCCCACGCCUGGUGCGCAGCCGGCUCGGCGGCUGUGGGCUGGCGGCGGGGCCGGGGCGGCGGGGCUGAAGCGGUGGCGACGGGAGCUGGGCUUGGCGGCGGGGGGUGCUCUCGCCGCGUACAUGGGGUACCGGCUAUCAGACCGGCACCGGGAGCCCUCCCGGGAGCCGGCAGCCGCCGGGCCGGGCGGGUCCCGGGUGCUACUCUCCAUCCCCGUGGCGGCCGCUGCCAAGGAGACGGUUACAGAAAACAGAUCGGACCUUGAAGAUUUGGAGCUUUAUGCAACUCCUCGGGAGCAACGGUUUCGCAGGUUUGCCAGUUUAGAAUUUGAAGGACAGCUAUAUAUGACUCCAUAUGACUUCAUUCAGGCUGUCACAAGUGAUGAGCCCAAACGUACUAAAAAGUGGCGAUCCCUUUCAAAGCAGGAGCUGAAUCAUAUCCUCAUGGAGACACCACCGGUUUGGAAAGGAUCAUCCAAACUUUUUCGUAACCUUAAUGAGAAAGGUGUGAUAUCUUACACAGAAUAUUUAUUCCUCUUAUGUAUUUUAACAAAGCCACAUGCAGGUUUUAGGAUUGCUUUCAACAUGUUUGAUACUGAUGGCAAUGAGAUGGUGGACAAAAAGGAAUUCUUAGUGCUACAAGAAAUUUUCAGGAAAAAGAAUGAGAAGAGAGAAAGAAAAGGAGAUGAAGAAAAACGUGCAAUGCUGCGUCUUCAGCUGUAUGGAUAUCAUACUUCUACUAACAGUGUCCUUAAAACAGAAGGAGAGGACCUUGUUCCCAGAAGCUAUUGGGAUACUUUGAGACGUAGCACAAGCCAAGCACUCUUUUCGGACCUUGCGGAGCGUGCUGAUGAUAUUUCAAGUUCACUGUCAGAUACUACACUGCUUGUACACUUUUUCGGCAAGAAAGGAAAAGCUGAACUGAACUUUGAAGAUUUUUAUAGAUUUAUGGAUAACCUACAGACAGAAGUUCUAGAGAUAGAAUUCCUUUCCUACUCUAAUGGGAUGAACACCAUUAGUGAGGAAGACUUUGCUCAUAUUCUUUUGAGGUAUACAAAUGUGGAAAAUACAUCAAGUUACCUGGAAAACAUGCGCUGCAGGAUUCCUGAAGAAAAGGGUAUCACAUUUGACGAGUUUAGAUCAUUUUUCCAAUUCUUGAACAACCUAGAAGACUUUACAAUUGCGAUGCAAAUGUAUAAUUUUGCAAGUCGUUCCAUAGGUCAGGAUGAAUUCAAACGUGCUGUGUAUGUAGCCACAGGUGUGAAGCUUUCACCACAUUUGGUGAACACUGUGUUCAAGAUUUUUGAUGUUGACAGAGACGACCAGUUGAGUUACAAAGAAUUUAUUGGCAUUAUGAAAGACAGACUCAAUCGAGGGUUUAGGGGCUACAAACCUAUACAGAGGUAUACUACUUUCAAAUCCUGCGUGAGGAAGGAACUCUAUAGCAGAUAAAUGACGGUGACCUUUUUAGUACAGUGUCAAUACAAAGAAGCAAGAAACAAAACUAGAGACAGCAGGACAUACCUGAAUAAAAAGGAAAUCCUUUCUUGCAACUUUUAAUAUAAAUAGGCUAUUUGUUGAAUGCUAACUGUGUGCUGUGAGGAGACUCCAAAAUAUGGUUGGAAGGAAUAUUACUCUUGCGUGAUGACUGUAACCAGUGAACACCUCAGAGAUCUGUGGAAGCAGUUUCGGAGACGAGAUAUGCUGAGAUAAAGGAAGAAAGAAUGAUUAUCUGCACUGGCUAGAACUAUUUAUCUCUAUGAAUUCAUGAUGAAGAACAAACUAACCCAGGUGAAUUGUGAAUUACAGCUGCAGUAGAAAACACAGGACUUCUUUUCCACUUAGUCUAGUGAUCAUGAACUCUUACAACUGCUUUUCAGUAUGUAUUUUAUUUAAAUGAUGAACUGUCACGAUUGGCAGAAAUCUUUUUCUUAAGAACAUUUUGAAUAUUUUUUAUUAUUUUGAGAUAAAUUUACAAUUUAAAGGAAAAGAUAAAUAAGUUUUACACCUGGGUAGGCAAAUGUGGCAAUGAAGAGAAACUACAGCAGCUUAGACUGUGAAUUUUCUUUCAGAAGAGCACUAUGAAAAGUUUGUGCAAAAUUGGCAAUGAGAAUGCAUUAAGUAGCAUAACAGCUAUGUACAAGUUGAAUGUACAAAUUAAACUCUUAGAAGCUAUUAUUUUAAAAAGAGUAAAGCUGUUAUGGUUAUAAUGUGAAUGAUAGGUAUUUACCUAGGGAAGGUACUGUAUGGACUCUGAUGUUCAGAUUCUCCAAGUCUUACUAUUACAUUCAGUAACUUAUCCUUUUAAAAAACAGUAUAGAUUUUAAGAUGUCUUAUGAGCAGUAGGUCAAAAAAUCAAAAUGUUCAAAUUCAUGUUAAGUAAUACACACUUUGUAAUACUUACUACAAAUUUUAUUGCCAUACAUAUAAAUUCAUUGAUAUAUUUCUGGUAGAGUAAAACUUCAUGUGUUUCUUGUGAAUAGUGCACUUUUCUAUGAAGUGGCACUGAGUAGAAAUUAUAGCUGUCUAAUUUGCUACUCUGGAAUGCAGUGUCUGGAAAAUAGAUAAUAACUUGUGCUUGUCUCAACAAAGCAAAACAAAACAUAAAUGCAUGCAACAAUACAGAGCAACACUAAGUAAUAUUAUUUGAAUAUUACGCAUCAGAUAUUAGACACAAAUUAGGCUUUACAAAGGUAUGGAGACUACAGGCAGGCAGUAGCCACUAUGCCCUUUCAUGCGCUGUAGGCUUAGGUGUUACUGAAACAGUGGUAAGGACACUGUUACAUUUAGUUUUUCAUGUUCUCUAAAUUUUUUUUGCUGUCCAGCAGCACCAUUUUUCCUUACUCCCUUUCAAUAUUUGUAUGUGGUAUUGAUUAAACCCACAAAAACAUGAACACCUAUUUCUUACAUCCUUCUUGAAAAGGUUUGCUGGAGGUUAAAUAAGUCUGUACCUAUUGAGGAGCAAUCCGUGCCUUGAAGUAUUUCUAGCUGAAUACACACAGACUAAAACUAAUGUCAGUAAGUUGUUAUCAGAAAGGCAAAUAUUUAGUGGAGUCAGAUAAUUAAAAUACACCAAAAUAAUGUUUUUAAAUCUUUUAUUCCUCAAAAUGCAUGAAAGCAAACUUUGCAAAAUUCUGUUUAGUGCACGUUGCUCAAAUACCAUCUGAUUAUCAUGUGAAUAGAAAUGAUGUACAGCACUUGUGUAAGUGCAGCUAAGUUUAGAAGUGCUUAAUUUAUAAUAAGAUUUACCUCUGCUAAAAAAUUAAAAUGAGAAGGAAGGUGGGUUUUAAGAAAUACCACACUGGGCAUUUUAGAAAAUAAAAAUGUGCUACAUGUGUCUUUCAUCUGAGAAAAAGCUGGGUCAGAAAGCAUUUGAAGGGUGCUACUUUAAGUAAUGUUUCAUGCUAGUUGCUUACAAAAUAUCCACCUUGGUGUCGUUAAACUACUGACAACAAGAAAAUCAAAUAAACUGGGAUAAAGGUUUUUGAAUUGAUACAACAGAACACACAUAAGCUGCAAUCGCUGUGUGAUGAUUUAGGGAAUCAACUGUAUUCAAUGUAUCGUCUUGGUACGCAGAACUGUCUCACUGCUUCUUGUCAGCAUAUGCAAAACCCAGAUUGCUACUUCAGUGAUGAAGGACAAAAAAAUGGAAGAAAAGUUAGGGAGCUAUUGAAAGGAUUCACAUCCUUCCUCUUCAUUCACUACUGCCCAAGCACACCAGUCCUCCCCUUGGAAGCAGCAGUACCAUCACCAUUUGGCUCCUCCACUGCUCUAAGCAAUAAUGCACUUUGCUUUUAUGGCUGGCUUGAGACAAUUUUAUCAUUUUUAUAUGUAUUUCCUAACUAUAGUCACUUAAUAUAAAAUAGAAUGUGAAAGUGUCAGAUUAGUUUUUAAGAGUAUUUUUUCUCAUGUUUAAUGAUAAGUUAUUUAAUAUGAAUAUAUGCAUAUAGUAUUCUUGUUUAUUUCAAAAUAAAUGCACUUGAAAUUAA